rnacentral:rRNA from 1 species
CCUACGGGUGGCAGCAGUGAGGAAUAUUGGUCAAUGGGCGCGAGCCUGAACCAGCCAAGUAGCGUGAAGGAUGACUGCCCUACGGGUUGUAAACUUCUUUUAUAAAGGAAUAAAGUGAGGCACGUGUGCCUUUUUGUAUGUACUUUAUGAAUAAGGAUCGGCUAACUCCGUGCCAGCAGCCGCGGUAAUACGGAGGAUCCGAGCGUUAUCCGGAUUUAUUGGGUUUAAAGGGAGCGUAGAUGGGUUGUUAAGUCAGUUGGGAAAGUUUGCGGCUCAACCGUAAAAUUGCAAUUGAUACUAGCAGCCUUGAGUACAAUUGAGGUAGGCGGAAUUCGAGGUGUAGCGGUGAAAUGCUUAGAUAUAACGAAGAACACCGAUGGCGAAGGCAGCUUACUAAGCUGCCACUGACAUUGAUGCUCGAAAGUGUGGGUAGCAAACAGGAUUAGAUACCCGGGUAGUC